rnacentral:ncRNA from 1 species
UUUGGCACAAAGCCAAAGACUUAUGCGGAGAUACCAACCGCGUACCUAGGAGAACUAGGAUUGGACUCCUUUAAAGGAGAAAACAAAUG